GGGGAUUUAGCUCAGUGGUAGAGCGCUUGCCUAGCAAGCGCAAGGCCCUGGGUGGCCCUGGGUUCGGUCCCCAGCUCCG
rnacentral:tRNA from 1 species